rnacentral:rRNA from 1 species
GACGAACGCUGGCGGCGUGCUUAACACAUGCAAGUCGAACGGAAAGGCCCUGCUUUUGUGGGGUGCUCGAGUGGCGAACGGGUGAGUAACACGUGAGUAACCUGCCCUUGACUUUGGGAUAACUUCAGGAAACUGGGGCUAAUACCGGAUAGGAGCUCCUGCUGCAUGGUGGGGGUUGGAAAGUUUCGGCUGUUGGGGAUGGACUCGCGGCUUAUCAGCUUGUUUGUGGGGUAGUGGCUUACCAAGGCUUUGACGGGUAGCCGGCCUGAGAGGGUUACCGGGCAAAUUGGGACUGAGAUACGGACCAGACUACUACGGGAGGCAGCAGUGGGGAAUAUUGCACAAUGGGCGGAAGCCUGAUGCAGCAACGCCGCGUGCGGGAUGACGGCCUUCGGGUUGUAAACCGCUUUCGCCUGUGACGAGGCGUGAGUGACGGUAAUGGGUAAAGAAGCACCGGCUAACUACGUG